UCCUAUAAUCAGUAUCAUGGCCUUUGUAUACAACAAAAUUGAUUGGAACUCCUAGACUAGAAAUAUAAUUCAAGAUUUAAAUAAGGCACUGGUCAUAGUUUUAGAAAGUGUGGCUAGCAUUCUGAAGGAAGACAGAGAGAUGGAAAGACAUCAAAGAAUGGGCAGGUCUGCCAAGAAAUGGUUUAUCCAGGGCUAAGUACAGAGAGGAAUAUAGAAGGGCUGUUGACAGAUCUUGUGUGGUGCCCCCAUGGUUCAACAGACUAAUUGAUUGAAAAUAAUACCAGGGUUAUGCUCCUUUGACCAUUGAGUUCCAGGAUGAAGAAUGAAAGACAGAGAGCAAUGUGAAGACAUGAAAGAAUGGGCAGGUCUGCCAUGAAAUGGUUUAUCCAGGGCUAAGUACAGAGAGGAAUAUAGAAGGGCUGUUGACAGAUCUUGUGUGGUGCCCCCAUGGUUCAACAGACUGAUUGAUA